CCGUAGUACUGCGGACGACAUUAUCAAGAGUCUGCGCCAAAAGUGCAGCUCGCCUCUCACCCUUGCUUAUAUGCACCUUUUGUUGUUUCCUCGGCGGGGCUUCCCCCUGCCGGUGGGACGCUCAUUUAAACCUUUCGCAUCAGCAUGAAACUUCUGAACAUAACCUAAAUAUUUACAACUUUCAACAAUGGAUCUCUUGGUUCUGGCAUCGAUGAAGAACGCAGCGAAAUGCGAUAAGUAGUGUGAAUUGCAGAAUUCAGUGAAUCAUCGAAUCUUUGAACGCACAUUGCGCCCCUCGGUAUUCCGUGGGGCAUGCCUGUUCGAGCGUCAUUUACACCCUCAAGCUUUGCUUGGUGUUGGGCGUCUGUCCCGCCGUCCUGGCGUGGACUCGCCCCAAAAUUAUUGGCAGCGGUCCUGACCGGCUUCUUGCGCAGCACUUCGCGCUCUGAGGCAUGAGGAGGGCCGCGUCCACAAAGUAGACUCUAAUAUUUGACCUCGGAUCAGGUAGGGAUACCCGCUGAACUUAAGCAUAUC
rnacentral:rRNA from 1 species